ensembl:lncRNA MIR99AHG mir-99a-let-7c cluster host gene
GUCUAGGGGAGAGCCUGUAGGUACUCCAUUGUCUGAUGGAUCUGAGAACGCUGUCUGGGCUUGGUACCAAGAGCUGGUAUUUCACAGCAGCGACCGCCUCACAGACGAGCUGUGGGAAGCAGGAGGGAGACUCUCUCUUAGGGUGCCACUACUAUGGAGACACAGCUGGGCUGAACAAGAUUUGCUUCAAACGACAACAAGAGAGACAGAAAGUAUCUGGUUCAACCGCUGCCCGAGCAGGCAGGCACCAGAAGAGCUAGCAGCCAAUCCGGCCAUGCUCGAAGCCAGCUCUGCAGCUCAGCCAAUCAGUGACAUCAUUGCUUUCUUUAGCUUGCCCAUGGUGAUGUGAAGAUGAGAAGAAAUAGCAAGGCCCAACCAGUUCUUCAUCUGGAGACAGUUCAACGUUCUGCAAACCAGAUCUUCAGGAAUUUUACUGGGAUAAUUAUCCAAAUAAAUUGCAAGCAUUCUAUCCAAAUGGAGCUCUUUCUGAGAUGAAGAGAAUUCUCAAUGUCAAGAUUUGAACAAGAAGAGAAUGGAAUACACAAUAUGGACAUCCAUAAAAAUUCAUCAGAGAGCAUUUUACUACUGAGCUGCAAAGGGAAAAACUUAAAAUGGAUAUGAAAAGUGAAGAAAGUGAUCAUAGGAGAAAACCAUUUCAGAUGACAAGAGCACCUCAAAGGCAGCAGCCUCAAGGAGCAGCCAUGGCCCCAGACUUGUCGCACGGAUGCAGAAAACUUAAUGGAGGAGGCUGAGGUCAGAAUGGGAAGAGUUUUUAAAAAAUAAAAAGGGGAGCUAAUAUGUGAGGAACUGAUUGCUGUGCAUUAUUUUCCACUGAACAGACCUUCUUUUAACUUCUAAUCUCAAGCACAUAGCAGCUGUUGUUUUCAUAUUAAAGAUCAGUAAGUGUUUGUUGAAUGAAUGUAUAAAUUCUUCCCCAAUCUCUGUUCCAUGUAAUAAGAACUAAGUUAGCAUUCAAUUAUAAAGAGGACUUAGAAAGUCUGCAGACAUUUUUGAUCAAAAAUCCUUUUAACUGUCUUCUUAUGGUUCCCGGUAACACCUAAGCCCAAAAAACUCAGGUCAUUUCUUGCCUGUACUGUUGCAAUAGCCUCAUAAUAACUAGUCUUCUCCUUUAUCAACCACAGUCGUCUCCGCUACACAAAGAAGAGAGGGUGCUAAUCUAAAGUGUAAAUUAUUUUAAAUCAGCACCCUUCUUGUAAUUUCCCAGUGGUUUUUCCUGUCAUAAGAAUAACAUGCAAAAUUCCUUGCUUGCAAAGCCAGGUAUGACCUUGCCCCGUCUACCUUACUGGCAUCGUCUCUCAUGACUCUUCCCCUUUUUCACUCUCCAUCUUGCCUUUUCCCAACCAUGCCUGCUAGUGAGCCUUAGCCCUUGUGUUUUCUCUGCCAGGGAUGCAUGACUGGCUUCUUUACUUUAUUCUGAUCUCUCUGCUCAAAUGUCAUCUUUUUAGAGAUAGCUUUCCUAAACAUCUUUAAAAGUACCCCAUGAACUGUGAAACACCUUUCCUGCUUUUUCUUCAUAGUACUUAUCACUUCCUGAUAUUAUGUUAGACAACAAGCAAAUAAGUAUAUGCUGUUCCCACUAAAAUAUAAGCUCCAUUUGAACAGGAGCCUUGAUUAUUCCUGAGUAUACCCCUAGUGCCCAGAACCUAGUAGGGCUUUAAUAAAUAUUAGAUUCAUUUGUUGAAUGAAAAAAUGAAUGAAUAAUUGAAUAAAGAUAUCCAGGUAGAGUGUCCGGGCAGCCCAACCUAUGUGAAGCCAGUACAAGAAUGUUUCUGUGACAUAGUGAGCGCAAUUAUUCCUCUAAAUGAUGAACUUGCAUGAGUACACAAGGAUAAAAUUAAGCACGUAGUUUAGAUUUCUGCAAGUCUCUUCCUCAGAUUGAGGAAAAACAAAGAAAUUGAGCUUAUUCUCACCUCAUUCUUACAUGAACUAAAUCCAGAAUAAAGCAUCAUUUAAAUACCAAGCACAUCCCUACCUCAGCCACUCAUGGAAUACUUUAUCUGUAAAGGGACAGAUAGAUAGUAAAUAUUUUUGGCUUUGGGGACCGUACAGUCUGUGUCGCCACUACUCAGCACUUCUGUUGAGGUGUGGAAUCAGCCCUAGACAACACAUAAACAAAUGGGUGUGGCUGUGUUCCAAUAAAAUGUUAUUUAUAAAACUAGGAAAUCAGCAGAUUUAGUCCACAGGCUGUAGUUUGCUGACCCUUGAAUUAGAGAGUCUUCCCCAAAUCCUCUUCCCAAGUUAUUGAAAGAAUGCCCAUAGGACCAUAGCUCCCUCACCUGGUUCUUUCAAGAAAUGAGACAAAUUCAGGGAUGGUUGGAGGGUGGAACGCCUACCUGUGACAUGACUAUUGAGCCUGAUUUCUUUCCUUUUAUCUCUUUAAAGUGAGUCAGGUCUUAACUUUAAACUGUCUCUAAAGUGGCAAUAACUGGGCCAUGUCAAAUACUCCCAAUGACAAAAUUUCUUCUUGGAGAAUGAAUGAGGGUUGCAUACAGUGGUGUGUUGGUAAAUGUUUAGCAACUGGCUCUCUUACUGAUUUCUGUAGUGUAAAUUCUCCCAUCCUGGCCAUCUGAAACUACCAAUAUGAUGUCACUUGAUGUAGAGUUGGGAAAAGACAGUCUCUUGAAUAAGUAUGAGCUGGUUCCAGCCCACUGCUGAACACAUAUUUAAAAGCUACAAUAGCUCUGCUCACUGCCAUUGCAGAGUCUGGAGGAAAGAGUAGCAGGCUUGAUAGGAGCAAUUGGCUGAAUAAUCUUUUGCAAUGCCAAUAAAUAAUGAAAAAGUAUAUAAAUAUAACGCUGUAUAGAAAGCUCUCAAGUUCAGUGUUUGGUUAAAAUACAUACUCAGUAAAUGGUAGCUAUUAUUGUCUUAGUUUAAGUUAUUGCAAGCAUUAAAAUUAAAUGUUUAGCUACAGACUCAAUCCAGUUUUAAUGUCAUUGUGUUAAUAAGGCCUCUUAACAUUGAAGCAACAAAGAUAAAGGAAUUUUUUUGUAGCUAUUCACGAUUCUGCCCAGCUCAAGGUAAAGAUAGCAACAAAAUACUCCAACCAGAAUAAAAGAAGUCUCCACUUGACUGCAGCUCUUCGCAACACUUCACAAGGGUCAAGCUGUGUUAGUUUCCUUCAGUGUUAAACAGAAUGCAUCUUAAGAGAAUAGUUCAAUUAUUGAUUGAAUAGUAGGUUCAAGUUGACUAUAAUCCCAACUAAUACACUCUAAGACCAGGGAUGGGCCGACAGAAGGGUAAAGUUUUCCACUCAAGUCUCGAGGCAAACACUCAGAUAGAAGUAGUAAUAUGGAUGCCUUCUAUUAUUUGGUCACAUACAAUACUGUUCCAGCCCAGUUGUGCAAAACUGGUGAAAUAAAAGGCAAAAAUAUUGACAACAGUUUGGGUAACUGGAUUCCAAAAUGGGCAUCCAUCUAAGAGAAAUUAAUGAAAAAAAAGCAUAUGGACCUUGAAAUACAUUAAUACACAGUUUAGGUUUAAACACUCAGUUUUUAUUAGAAAAGACUAACUUAUCCUGUUUUGAACACUACAAAAGUGCUUUCUGAACCAUUUACUCUCAAACCUCCUCCACCCAUUCCCCUCCAUCUAUAACGCUUUCUGCACAUCUGUAAAAGGUAUGACUUAGUGUUUGGUCUGUGAAAUAAGGUUAAAAAGGAAGCAUUUCUUUUUACAUUCUAGCUAAUGUUGAUAUUUUUCUCAUGCUUCUAUUAGCACAUAAUUCAGAUACAUUAGUUUUGAAGUUUUGAAUCUUCUCUGCUUCUUGAGGGCUCUCUGUUCUAGAUCAACAUGAUCUGUGGAACACCAGCCAAGUCCUGGGCAGAACCCUCCCCGUUGUCCAAAUAUUACUGAAUCAGUUGAGUUUUCUCUGUUGUCAAUGAAUUAUUCCACAUGUUUCUUUGGCUACAUUUUUUUUGGCUUUCUGUUCACAGUAAAUAUAGCCUUUGUUUUUAAAAACUUCUAUUAUGAAAAUUCCAAAUAUAUGCAAAUUAGAGAGAAUAGCAUAAUGAACCUCUAUGUGCUUAUCACACAUAUAGGUUCAACUAAUUAAAUUAUAUCAAUUUAUGGCCAAUCUGGUUUCAUUUAUAACAUCAUUCGCUCAUUCCUAACUCCCUGGAUUAUUUGAUUGACAUGUUUCUAAAGUUCCUUUUAAUCUGUAGGUUCCCCCUCUCAUUUAAUCUUUUGCAACUUAUUCAUUGAUGAAACUGGGUUAUUUGUCCUUUAUUGUUUCUCUCAUUCUGAAAUAUGCUGUAAUGUCAUUAACCAUAUUCUUCUUUCCUGUAUUUUCUGUAAGCUUUGAGCUAGGCAGAAAUAUUUUAAUCAGAUUCCUUUUUUUUUCUUUUAGCAAGAUUUCUUCAUAAAUAAUAUUGUAUGUGU